AAUCAGUACCAGAUAAAUUGCUGGUGUCUCUACCUGAACUCAGAGAUGGGCUGACACUCUGACACCGGUAAGUAGGUUGCUCUAAAACUAGCUGGCCCUGGAGGAAAACAGCUCCACUUCCUGCUGCGCUGCGUCUGAGGCAGGAAAUCAGGCCAGUCCCGGGAGACCCCCGAGGAAACCAGAUGAAAUUGGUGGUUUUUAAUUUGGAUUUUUGUGAACACAGACAGAGUGUGAGACCAGAUUGUGUAUAAUAUGAGCUGUUAGGUUAAUUCACUGUGCUGUGUAAACAGGAGAAAGAGCUGAAUAAACGGCUCUGGGUUUAUCUAUUUAAAGAUGUAAUUAUAUUAAGAGUGGCACACACGAGGAAACCCUGACGAAUCCUCCGAGAUCAAUUAGGCCAAAGAAACGGAAACAACCUGAAUGUUCGACAAUCCUCCGAGGAGCAAACGCUCAGCCUCCUCCAAGACAGUUAGAGGAAAAUUACAUGAAUGAAUUCCUAAUUUAUAUAAUUACAGGACUGAGAUGCUUAAAACAUCACACCUAAUCUCUGACAUGGUUUCAUACAGAGCUGGGUGGACAGACGUUCUAACAUAGACUUAAGUGGGCCUCGGAAAACUCCACCACCUGAGAAAUACACUCCCUGCUGUGAGAGACAGGAUGGGGAACAACUGGAUUCAGGAGACGCUGAUCCACUGAGACGGCACUUCGUAGAGUCUCUGAUGACGUUUUAAGACCACAAACAAAGAUGACUCCUCAGUUCUCGUCCUCCUUGACCUCGGCUAUGCUUUAGGUACCGUAGACCACUGUAUUUUGAUUGACGGACUGAAAGAUCAGGUGGGAAUUUCAGAGACAUUGUUAAAAUGUUUUUUCUGACUCUCCUCUGCCUCUGGCAUACCACAGGGAUCUGUCCUGGGACCCCUCCUUUUCUGUGCUGGAAAGAUUUAACAACAGACAACUCUGCUUCUCUUUGUCCACAACCUAAUAUUUAGAUGAAAAAACUUGUUUAAAUAUCAAUCUACCCUCUAAUUAAUAUUACCCUCUAAUAUUUAAACUUUAAAUAUUUGUGUUCAAAUGCUGAUUUCUAUUUUUCAAGUUUUUUUUGUUUCUUUUUUAAAAUAUUUUUUGUUAAAAAUUGUUUAUUUAUUUAUCUUUCAACAUUUCAUUAACUAAAUACGUGCUAGAAAGCCUUCAUCUUUUGUUCAGAAUCAGCUUCUUAUCACACUGUGAGGUAGUGUGAUAAGGUAACCGGCACAACUUCUUUCUCAUUCAUCCUCGCAGCGCCUCAGCGCUUUACACAGCCGGACACUCAGCGUCUGCUGACUUCAAUGUGGAAGCUCAAAGUGAAACUAGACGCUCAUUGGAUAAAUGCUGGGCUUUGUCCUGCCCAUCGGACGCUCAGCGUCUCUGGAGUUCUAUGACGAGAGGGCAGUCCCAACUUUCUCGCGGACGCUGAGCUUCUGCAUCCAUGAUUGGAUGAGCUGUCUGAAGCGAAACCUUUUUUUGAUUGACAGAUAAACAAGCGAAUCAGCGAUCUUGAAGUAUAAAACAUCUACCAGUGUAUUUUCCAAGUUAUUCAUUCCGUUGUUCUUAACUGCUCCAGAGACUUUACCACUCAGCGACUUCUGUCUUUGUUAAAAACGACUGCCGUUGUGUUUGGCGACUCUGUUCUGUUACAUACAAAUAAACAAACACAAUUAUGAUGCAGGCCAGAAAAAUGAGCUUCCCCUCCUUGAAAGACCAGCAGCCGCCACUGCUAUAGAUGUAGGUUUUUUUCUUGUUAUACAAUUUAACUCAGAUGCAAAAUGAUUUUAUUUUGUUUCUAAAUUUUUUUUGUUAGUUUUUUUGUAAUCAUUUUUGUGUUCAAAUACUGAUUUUUAUUUUUCAAAGUAUUUUUGUUUUUAAAAUGAUUUUGUUUUAUUAAAAAAAAUAUUUUUUUUUUCUGAAACAUUUUUAUGUUUAACAUUAUUUUAUAUCCAAAAAUUUAGUUUAUUUUAAAUUCAUUUGUCCUAGAUAUAUUGUUUAUUUAAGAUGUAUUUGCCUUUAUGAAUAUUUAUUUUUAUUUUAUUGCCAAAACAAAGAAAAAAAAGUUGGGUUGUGGAUUCAUUUUUUUUAAUCCAAAAAAAUGUAUAUAUUUAUAUAUUUUGAGAAUUUUUUUGUGUUUUCCAUAAAAUAGUUUGUGAUCAUAGGAAACACCGUCAUGCUCUGUGAAACGUUUCCAGGUUUCAUUGAAUAAUAUUUGUAUUCAAUGAAAUUGUUUGUGUUUGUUUUCUUUUCCAGAGCUUCCUCCCCUCCCCCGGCGCUGAGGCUGAGUGAGACUACACACCUGCUCCACAUCUCCAAUCAAGGCACUUUAAGAAGCCUGCAGCCCUCAGUCUCAGCGCCUGAGUAUUGUCUACCCUUCCUAGCGGUAAAGACGCGUCUCCUGGCCAACCUCGUUUGUAUCCCUAUCAGAACUUUGCUCCUCGUGACUCUUUUCAUGUACAAUAACU
rnacentral:lncRNA from 1 species